rnacentral:rRNA from 1 species
GACGAACGCUGGCGGCGUGCCUAAUACAUGCAAGUAGAACGCUGAAGGAGGAGCUUGCUUCUCUGGAUGAGUUGCGAACGGGUGAGUAACGCGUAGGUAACCUGCCUGGUAGCGGGGGAUAACUAUUGGAAACGAUAGCUAAUACCGCAUAACAGUAGAUGUUGCAUGACAUUUGCUUAAAAGGUGCAAUUGCAUCACUACCAGAUGGACCUGCGUUGUAUUAGCUAGUUGGUGGGGUAACGGCUCACCAAGGCGACGAUACAUAGCCGACCUGAGAGGGUGAUCGGCCACACUGGGACUGAGACACGGCCCAGACUCCUACGGGAGGCAGCAGUAGGGAAUCUUCGGCAAUGGACGGAAGUCUGACCGAGCAACGCCGCGUGAGUGAAGAAGGUUUUCGGAUCGUAAAGCUCUGUUGUAAGAGAAGAACGAGUGUGAGAGU